rnacentral:lncRNA from 1 species
CGGAGUGCCUGGAGAAAACCACUGACCUUGGAUAGGAAAACUGACAAUCCUAGUCAAUUAAGAUUGGAGUCAAGUGCAGUCGUAUGAGCAGGGUUCAAACUCACAACCUCAGUGUUGACUGGCUAGAUUACAGUUGUAACUAUUUAGACCACUCGGCCACUAAGGCCCCCCACCCUUUUUAAGAAUGUAAUUACAUUGUAAUAAAACAUGAAAGUCAAUUGUAUAUUUACAGAUUCUACUUAUGUAUCUUUCCAAUGGCAAAAUACCAAUAAAAAAAUUCUGGAUAAUAAAAAUACAAAAAAAGAUUCAAAGAGAGAUAACUCCAUUAAAUUUUUUUUGUAGCUAAUUUUUUAAAUGGAUACUGUGGCCAUUAAGUCCG